rnacentral:rRNA from 1 species
GACGAACGCUGGCGGCGUGCUUAACACAUGCAAGUCGAGCGGUAAGGCCCUUUCGGGGGUACACGAGCGGCGAACGGGUGAGUAACACGUGGGUGACCUGCCCUUAGCUCUGGGAUAAGCCUGGGAAACUGGGUCUAAUACCGGAUAUGACUCCAUGACGCAUGUUGUGGGGUGGAAAGCCUUGUGCGGCUAGGGGAUGGGGCCCGCGGCCUAUCAGCUUGUUGGUGGGGUNAUGGCCACCAAGGCGACGACGGGUAGCCGGCCUGAGAGGGCGACCGGCCACACUGGGACUGAGACACGGCCCAGACUCCUACGGGAGGCAGCAGUGGGGAAUCUUGCGCAAUGGGCGAAAGCCUGACGCAGCGACGCCGCGUGGGGAUGACGGCCU